rnacentral:tRNA from 1 species
AGUAAAGUGGCGCACGGUCUGGAAGCACAAGUGCCUUUCCACGGCGCGCGGGCGCUGUUCUACCCGAGCUUUGAUA